GGGACUGUGCCAUCUUGUUCACCUUCCUCCAUUUUGUCCCUUCUCCCUCACCCAAACAAGCUUCACACUGAACUUACUCACAGCAGCCCUACAGAAGUAGGACCGUGACUCACACUGACCCUUGCGGUUUAUCUGCAUCUCAUUAUUGGGUCGUGAGAAAUAGCAGCCCAACCCUCAGUUUGGUCCGGGAACAAAAUUUGGCGUGCCAGCCGGGAGAAACCAGGACAGCGCUGCAUUCAGCAGGCCAGUGGCUUGCCAUGAGACAGUCUUCAGGAGGAUCCCAGCAUCUGCACAAAAUUGCACAUCCCUUUCACUGCUGGGGAAGAACUGAGAUCAGGAGCAGACACGCUCCAAGGGACCUUGUUGUUGUUGUUGUUGUUGUUGCUAUUGUUACAGCGUUUCACUCUGUCACCAAGGCUGGAAUGAUGCAGUGGUGUGAUCUUGACUCACUGCAACCUCCGCCUCCCAGGUACAAGUGAUUCUCCUGCCUCAGCCUCCCGAGCAUCUGGGAUUACAGGCGCCCACCACCACGCCCGGCUAAUUUUUGUAUUUUUAGCAGAGACAGCGUUUCACCACAUUGCCCAGGCUGAUCUCAAACUCCUGACCUCAGGUGAUCCACCCGCCUUGGCCUCCCAAAGUGCUGGGAUUACAGAUGUGAGACACCACACCCGGCCUAGGACCUUGUCUUUUUAAGCAAAAGUUUUUUCUUCUCGGUUGACUGAAUUCUGUCUUCUUCAUUAAUAGUUAUUACAACAGAAGCUACUCUGGAGUUUUUAAGAAAAGGUGUAAUUUAGACACUUAGAAAUGUCUUUGUUUGGAAAAAAAAUUUAAGUGCAUUAUAAAACCAUCACAUGGUCUAGCCUCAUAAUAAUUCUCCCUUUUUGAAAACACAGGAUUCAGUGUGGGCUCUGCCCAGAGCUCAAAGAUCCAGUUAAAAGAUAGGUAGUCAAUAUCCAAAUAAACUUAGUCUCCUUAUACAGUCCUAUAAUAAAUUGCUAUAAUUUUAAGUUUGAUCUGGCAUUCAUCUUUAAUCUCCCUCUAGCGCCACCCCGGCUUUUUCUCUGUGUCACUGAAGAGUUGUUGCCUCUAAUAUGCAGAUUUUGGGAUAUUUAGCUGACAACUGCCAGAGUAAUAAAGUAGGUUAUCAAGAGUUUGCAAGUCUAAGAGAGGAAAAAGGAGGUCUUAUGAAUGUAUAAAAAUGUAUAUAAAACUAUGCCUAUAAAAUGAAUAUAAAACUUCUAUUGGUAUGCCUAAUACGUCUACAUAUUUAUGUCUUGUGUACACCAUGUUUUACUGCUGAAAAUAUAUAAAAGAGUUCUAAUUAAUUAGCUCAAAGAAAAAUAAAAGCACUUAACUACUUUAACAGAAAAAAAGGAAAAACUGGUCAAAAGCUUUUUAAAGUUUAUGUAACAAGUAAAACUUUAAUAAAUAAGCUAGCUUUAAAAAUUAUUGGUAAAGUAAUAUUAGAAAUGUUGCCAGCAUACAUUUUUGUUUGCAUUUAUUGAUCAAGCAAUUUCAUACUUAUCUCUGCCAAAUGCUGUAAGGUGUCAAAAUUUGGCAUAGAGGCUACAAAACUAUAACUCAGCCCCAAACAGAAUGAUCUUUGCUGGCAUAAUCUUUAAUAAAUGAAACGUUAAUAUUGGUUUAAUGAAGAUAGCUAUAUCUUGAAUUAUUUAGUACGAUACCAGAACUUCUAAUCUUGUGGCCUUAAGCAGUCGAAUCCACAGACAUGAAGGAAGUUUGUUCUGGAGAAGGACUGUUAUCAUCUUUGUUUCAAAGCUGAAUUAUAAACUAAGUUAAUGAACAAGAAUAGCUUGGAGGUUAGAAGCAAGAUGGAAUCAGUUAGGUCAGAUCAUUUUCACCGUCUCAGUUACAAUUUUGCAAUGACAGUGUCAUAAUUUUAAAUGAUGACUAUCACAGGUUUCAUAAAUAAUUAGAUAAAUGUAAUGGGGUAAAUACUCAUAAACAAACAUCAUAAUUUAGAAUCUAAAUUUAAAUAACAGAUAUUUCAUUAUUUGGGUAUUUUCCAAUAAAAAUAUAUUGUAGGAAAAGAUUCUUUCUAAAAAUUGUGUCCUUUUUAAAGGGUAAAUAAUUUUUGUCUAAUUCAAAGUUUAUUUAAAGGUUGUAUAUAAAAUAAGCUGAAAGAAACCAGGAAAUAAGAGAGAUAUAAAUAAAGUUAUAAAAAAUAAAAGGAGAUUAAAGAGUAUUGGUAAAAUAAAAAUAUCUUCAAAAAUGUAAACAUUUGGUCUAAAUUAUGCAGGUCAAAUAUUAGGUUUGCUAAAUGCUGUAGGUCAUAAACUGCUUCUUUGACUUAAAAAUUGUUCAAUUUAUUUUGGAGUGUUAAAUUCUAGAUAAGGCCUGGGGACAUAUGAAAUUAGCCAUGCCCCUAGCUAUACAAAAGGUAUUAAAGAAAAGAUUUUAUAUAAAAAAAGAUCUUGUAUGGUAAAUUCUCUUCCUAAAGUAAAAUAACUGGUUGCUUAAAAAGAGGGAUGUUUAGGACAAGUCAGAAAGUUGAGACAUGUUAUAGCUUGUCUGUGUAAGUUGUGAAAAAAUUUAUAAAAGGGAAUUUAUGUAAGAAAUGUUGUACAAUUUAAAAGUAAUUAGGCUUCCUAACUGCUUUAUGACUCUUAGCUGUACAACUUGCCUGCUUUACAGCUAGGUAAGGUCUGGGACACAUGGAGUUAAAUGAUGGAGUAAGUCAGACCUUAUCUGCACUUCUGUCUAGGUCCCAGGAUCCACACCUAGUACAUAAUUAAAAUCCCAAACUUACCAAGGUUUUCACCAAAAGUAAAGGUUGCUAAGAGUUAAUGGUGUAACAUGUAUUUAAGACGAUUGAAGAAACAGUUUUACAUGUAAAGUGUGUAAGGAAAGUAAAAUAUAAUAAUUCUGGUAAAAAGAUUAUAAGAAGGCAUUAGAAUGUGAAUCUUUGCCUAGAUUAAAAGGUUAAAGGAUUGUUUUAAGUUGGAUAAAAUAAAGAUGAAGGUUUACGCAAGUUGUGGAAGAUUGAUUGUAAAGGAAAUUCCGUGUCUAAAUAUAUUGGCUAAAGUUAAAGUGGUAUCAUCCAGUUUUCCUGUAAAUUAAGAAAUAAAAUAAAAGCUCAAUGGGUUUCUCUUAGAGCACUAACAUGCUCUUUAACAAAAAUUGUAAAGGGUUAUAAAAGAUCUAUAAAAAUCUUACCUUAUGAUCAAACAUUAAAAUUGGGUAAAUAGGUCUAUAAGGUUUUAUUAAGAAUUGGGUUUAACAUUAAUAGUACACUAAUGUAAAGGUGAAAUUUGGCUUAUUUGGUAUAAAAAUUAUACAGGAAGCAUUAUCAAAUAUGAAAUGGUGUUUCACUUUCUUUGGGUUAUAUUUGUAUAAAUAUUUCAUUGGUAUGUGUUUCAAAGUUAAGGAAGACUCCUACAGUUCUAAUAUAUCUUACUGUAAGUUAUCAGUAAUAAUUAUAAUUGUUAUGUUAAAUUAUUGCAUGCCACAGAGGUAACAGAUAUCCUUGUCAAUUGUGUCUUUUAACUAUGGCUACCCUAAAACUUUUUGUCAUCCAUAAACAAUUGUUGUCUUGUUUUGGGCCUCUUUAGAAGGUGGUUUUAUAAUUAACUAUGAAGUUCUAACAGGUGCUCUUGAAUGCAGGUUUCUGAUAACUUUGGAGACUGUAACAUCAGAAUAGAGGAAAAACGUUCAGGAUUCUUAAAGAGCUAAAAUGUUCAUUAAUAUCAAGCAGGAGAGGAAUUAACUGCAUGAAUCGAACUAACAGGAAACUGGAGUGAUCUUUUUGACAUUUUGCUUAAAACAUUGCUAAUCCUUUGUUUUGCUUUUCAGAGUCAAGGAAACUUUUCUUUUGAGCUAUUGACAGCUUUUAACAAUUUAGUAUACUCCCGUGAACAAAAUUUGGAGCAUAUUUGUUUCUCUCUACCUGAUUUCUCCAGAAUUUGGAAACUAUUUAACAGUAUUCUUAAUUUAUGGCAAUAGUUAUUUGCAUAAGUGCAAUAAAGAUCUGUUUUCUUUCGUAACAGGACACAAUUGGACAAACUGGUUAUUUUGCCAAGGCUUUGACUGGAAUGGUGUGCUUUCCUUUAAGGAAUAAAACUUGACUUAUAAAACCAAUAAAGUCCUUGGAAAACUGCCCUCCUAUUCUGUGUACACAGUCUCUGUACA
ensembl:lncRNA